rnacentral:rRNA from 1 species
UAAAGAGUUCUAUAACUCCCAAACCCAUGUGAACAUACCUAACGUUGCCUCGGCAGGUCGCACCUACCUUGUAGCACCCUACCCUGUAGGGCCUACCCGGGAGGUGCGGGUAAGCCUGCCGGCGGCCCACCAAACUCUGUUUGAUAUUGAAUUCUGAACCUAUAACUAAAUAAGUUAAAACUUUCAACAACGGAUCUCUUGGUUCUGGCAUCGAUGAAGAACGCAGCGAAAUGCGAUAAGUAAUGUGAAUUGCAGAAUUCAGUGAAUCAUCGAAUCUUUGAACGCAUAUUGCGCCCAUUAGUAUUCUAGUGGGCAGGACCGUUCGAGCGUCAUUUCAACCCUUAAGCCUUCGUUGCUUAGUGUUGGGAGCCUACGGCAACGUAGCUCCUCAAAGUUAGUGGCGGAGUUAGUUCACACUCUAGACGUAGUAAUUUUUUAUCUCGCCUAUUAGUUGGACUAAUCCCCUGCCGUAAAACCCCCAAUUUAUCAAGGUUGACCUCGAAUCGGUUCAGACAAACUCGCUAAAUUGAAGCAUCUUAGUCAGCGAAGGAAAAGAAACCAACAGGGAUUGCCCUAGUAACGGCGAGUGAAGCGGCAA